rnacentral:rRNA from 1 species
CAAGUCGAGCGAACGGACGAGAAGCUUGCUUCUCUGAUGUUAGCGGCGGACGGGUGAGUAACACGUGGAUAACCUACCUAUAAGACUGGGAUAACUUCGGGAAACCGGAGCUAAUACCGGAUAAUAUUUUGAACCGCAUGGUUCAAAAGUGAAAGACGGUCUUGCUGUCACUUAUAGAUGGAUCCGCGCUGCAUUAGCUAGUUGGUAAGGUAACGGCUUACCAAGGCAACGAUGCAUAGCCGACCUGAGAGGGUGAUCGGCCACACUGGAACUGAGACACGGUCCAGACUCCUACGGGAGGCAGCAGUAGGGAAUCUUCCGCAAUGGGCGAAAGCCUGACGGAGCAACGCCGCGUGAGUGAUGAAGGUCUUCGGAUCGUAAAACUCUGUUAUUAGGGAAGAACAUAUGUGUAAGUAACUGUGCACAUCUUGACGGUACCUAAUCAGAAAGCCACGGCUAACUACGUGCCAGCAGCCGCGGUAAUACGUAGGUGGCAAGCGUUAUCCGGAAUUAUUGGGCGUAAAGCGCGCGUAGGCGGUUUUUUAAGUCUGAUGUGAAAGCCCACGGCUCAACCGUGGAGGGUCAUUGGAAACUGGAAAACUUGAGUGCAGAAGAGGAAAGUGGAAUUCCAUGUGUAGCGGUGAAAUGCGCAGAGAUAUGGAGGAACACCAGUGGCGAAGGCGACUUUCUGGUCUGUAACUGACGCUGAUGUGCGAAAGCGUGGGGAUCAAACAGGAUUA